rnacentral:rRNA from 1 species
AUUGAACGCUGGCGGCAGGCCUAACACAUGCAAGUCGAACGAGUGGCGGACGGGUGAGUAAUGUCUGGGAACCUGCCUGAUGGAGGGGGAUAACUACUGGAAACGGUAGCUAAUACCGCAUACCAUCAGAUGUGCCCAGAUGGGAUUGGCUUGUUGGUGGGGUAACGGCUCACCAAGGCGACGAUCCCUAGCUGGGCUGAGAGGAUGACCAGCAACACGGGAACGGAGACACGGGCCAGACGCCUACGGGAGGCAGCAGUGGGGAAUAUGGCACAAUGGGGGCAAGCCUGAUGCAGCCAUGCCGCGUGUGUGAAGAAGGCCUUCGGGUUGUAAAGUACUUGCAGCGGGGAGGCGUUACCCGCAGAAGAAGCACCGGCUAACUCCGUGCCAGCAGCCGCGGUAAUAC